GCGGCAAACGGGUGAGUAAUAUCUGGGAAUCUACCCAAAAGAGGGGGAUAACUACUAGAAAUGGUAGCUAAUACCGCAUAAAGUUGAAAAACCAAAGUGGGGGACCUUAAAAGGCCUCAUGCUUUUGGAUGAGCCCAGAAGAGAUUAGCUUGUUGGUAAGGUAAAAGCUUACCAAGGCCACGAUCUCUAGCUGGUCUGAGAGGAUAACCAGCCACACUGGAACUGAGACACGGUCCAGACUCCUACGGGAGGCAGCAGUGGGGAAUAUUGCACAAUGGGCGAAAGCCUGAUGCAGCUAUGCCGCGUGUAUGAAGAAGGCCUUAGGGUUGUAAAGUACUU
rnacentral:rRNA from 1 species